GAUGAACGCUGGCGGCGUGCCUAAUACAUGCAAGUCGAGCGAACAGAUAAGGAGCUUGCUCCUUUGACGUUAGCGGCGGACGGGUGAGUAACACGUGGAUAACCUACCUAUAAGACUGGGAUAACUUCGGGAAACCGGAGCUAAUACCGGAUAACAUAUUGAACCGCAUGGUUCAAUAGUGAAAGGCGGCUUUGCUGUCACUUAUAGAUGGAUCCGCGCCGUAUUAGCUAGUUGGUAAGGUAACGGCUUACCAAGGCAACGAUACGUAGCCGACCUGAGAGGGUGAUCGGCCACACUGGAACUGAGACACGGUCCAGACUCCUACGGGAGGCAGCAGUAGGGAAUCUUCCGCAAUGGGCGAAAGCCUGACGGAGCAACGCCGCGUGAGUGAUGAAGGUCUUCGGAUCGUAAAACUCUGUUAUCAGGGAAGAACAAAUGUGUAAGUAACUGUGCACAUCUUGACGGUACCUGAUCAGAAAGCCACGGCUAACUACGUGCCAGCAGCCGCCGUAACAC
rnacentral:rRNA from 1 species